rnacentral:ncRNA from 1 species
CUAAUAUCUGUGAAAGAGCGAGUAAGUAACUAAUGCUUUAUAAGAGAGGGACGUCGUGGCUGAAAACGUCCUAGAUAGGUUAGUUUCCGAAAGACACUCUGGAGAUGGACGCGUGCAAAGCCGUCCCGUUGACGAGCGUUAAUCGUGAGAGGAAAGAGUAAUCUUUCAAAUUUAGGUGGUACCGUGUAUGAAAUAGUCAUUCACCCUUGUU